AGUCUGUGAUGAAGUUGAAACAGUGCCGGAGGCGGGUCUCCUGUGAGCUCGUCGCUGAUGGCGCAAAUAUCCUCUAAGAAGUUCUGAGCUC